UCAUGGCGUCAGGAUGAACGCUAGCGGGAGGCCUAACACAUGCAAGCCGAGCGGUAGAGAUUCUUCGGAAUCUUGAGAGCGGCGUACGGGUGCGGAACACGUGUGCAACUUACCUUUAUCUGGAAGGAUAAGCCUUUUCGAAAGGAAGAUUAAUACUCCAUAAUAUAUUGAUUGGCAUCAAUUGAUAUUGAAAGCUCCGGCGGAUAGAGAUGGGCACGCGCAAGAUUAGUUAGUUGGUGAGGUAACGGCUCACCAAGACGAUGAUCUUUAGGGGCCUGAGAGGGUGAUCCCCCACACUGGUACUGAGACACGGACCAGACUCCUACGGGAGGCAGCAGUGAGGAAUAUUGGUCAAUGGGUGCAAGCCUGAACCAGCCAUCCCGCGUGAAGGACGACUGCCCUAUGGGUUGUAAACUUCUUUUGUAUAGGGAUAAACCUACCCUCGUGAGGGUAGCUGAAGGUACUAUACGAAUAAGCACCGGCUAACUCCGUG
rnacentral:rRNA from 1 species